AUGGCGGCGACAGGGAGCCCUAAGGGCCUACGGUUCGCUGCAGCGUGCGGCGUUCUCAGCCGCUGCAUCAAGGCGGCGGAGACGCGGCCGGCGGCCACGGUGGUCCUCCCCCUCAUGCCUGGAGCGGAAGUGCCCGCGCAAGACGACCACGAGGCGGGUCCUGCGCCGGCGAACGCGCAGAUGACCAUCUUCUACGGCGGGCAGGUGCUGGUGCUGGACGAGGUCCCGGCUGACAGGGCGGCCGAGCUGCUCCGCGUCGCUGGUGUCUCAGGCACAGCGCGAGGGAACUGCGAGGCGGCGAAUGGCGACCUGCCCAUGGCGAGGAAGGCGUCGCUGCAGCGGUUCAUGGCGAAGCGCAAGGGAAGGCUCGCCGCGCGCGCCGUCCCCUACAGCCGGCCCGACGGCGACGCGUCCUCCUGUAACCGUCUGUCACUUAGGCUCUGA
rnacentral:rRNA from 1 species